rnacentral:rRNA from 1 species
AGAGUUUGAUCCUAGCUCAGGAUGAACGCUGGCGGUGUGGAUAAGGCAUGCAAGUCACGGGGCCCGCAAGGGUACCGGCAGACGGGUUAGUAACGCGUAGAAACAUCCCCCAUUCACGGGCAUAGCUCAUCGAAAGAUGGGGUAAUUCCCGAUAGUCCCGCAAGGGUAAAGCCGUAAGGCGGAAUGGGAUUGGUCUGCGUCCUAUCAGCUUGUUGGUGAGGUAAGAGCUUACCAAGGCUAUGACGGGUAGGGGGUGUGAGAGCACGACCCCCAACAAUGGAACUGAGAUACGGUCCAUACUCCUACGGGAGGCAGCAGCCGAGAAUAUUGGACAAUGGGGGAAACCCUGAUCCAGCGACACCGCGUUUAGGAAGAAGGUCUUCGGAUUGUAAACUAAUUUUGCAAGGGAAGAAGUUUUCUGACUGUACCUUGCGAAUAAGGGGUUGCUAACUCUGUGCCAGCAGCAGCGGUAAUACAGAGACCCCAAGCGUUAUCCGGAUUUAUUGGGUGUAAAGCAUGUGUAGGUGGUUGGAGUAGUCUUUUGUUAAAGUUCAAGGGCUCAACCUUUGAAACACAAGGGAAACCAUCCAACUUGAGGACGUUAGAGGUUAGUGGAACCAUCGGUGUAGGGGUGAAAUCCGUUGAUAUCGAUGGGAACACCAAAAGCGAAGGCAACUAACUGGGGCGAUCCUGACACUGAGACAUGAAAGCGUGGGUAGCAAAAAGGAUUAGAUACCCUUGUAGUCCACGCCCUAAAUGAUGAUUACUAGCUAUUGGAAGUGUCGACCCUUUCAGUGGCGUAGCUAACGCGUUAAGUAAUCCACCUGGGAAGUACGGCCGCAAGGCUAAAACUCAAAGGAAUAGACGGGGACUCGCACAAGCGGUGGAUCAUGUGGUUUAAUUCGACGACAAACGGGGAACCUUACCAAGGCUUGAAACCUAGACGAAAGUUCUGUGAAAGCAGAACCCUUCGCAAGAACGGCUAGGCAGGUGCUGCAUGGUUGUCGUCAGCAGGUGCCGUGAGGCGCUCCCUUAGAUGGGUAAACCUGCGCAACCCUUGCCCUGUGUUUUAAAUGUCACAGGGGACUGCCCGGGACAACUGGGAGGAAGGUGAGGAUGACGCCAAAUCAGCAUGGCCCUUUGAUGUCCUGGGCGACACUCAUGAAACAAUGGUAUACACAACGGGUUGCUAAGCCGCGAGGCGGAGCUAAUCCCUAAAAAUAUACCUCAGUUCGGAUUGGAGUCUGCAACCCGACUCCAUGAAGCUGGAAUCGCUAGU